rnacentral:rRNA from 1 species
GGGUCAACCGUGAGGUCAUUGAAACUGGGGACUGAGGCAGAAGAGAGAGCGAAUUCACGGUAGCGGUGAAUGCGAGAGAUGGGAGGAACACCAGGGGGAAGGGGCUCUUUGGUCUGAACUGACGGUGAGGCGGAAAGCGGGGGAGCGAACAGGAUUAGAUACCCUGGUAGUUCACGCCGUAAACGAUGAGUGCUAAGUGUUAGAGGGUUUUCGCCCUUUAGUGCUGCAGCAAACGCAUUAAGCAAUUCGCCUGGGGAGUACGGUUGCAAGACUGAAACUCAAAGGAAUUGACGGGGACCCGCACCAGCGGUGGAGCAUGUGGUUUAAUUUGAAGCAACGCGAAGAACCUUACCAGGUCUUGACAUCCUUUGCUACUUCUAGAGAUAGAAGGUUCCCUUUGGGGACAGAGUGACAGGUGGUGCAUGGUUGUUGUCAGCUUGUGUUGUGAGAUGUUGGGUUAAGUCCCGCAACGAGCGCAACCCUUGAUUUUAGUUGCCAGCAUUUAGUUGGGCACUUUAAGGUGACUGCCGGUGACAAACCGGAGGAAGGUGGGGAUGACGUCAAAUCAUCAUGCCCCUUAUGACCUGGGCUACCCACGUGGUACAAUGGAUGGUACAAAGGGCUGCAAAACCGCGAGGUUAAGCCAAUUCCAUAAAACCAUUUUCAGUUCGGAUUGUAGGCUGCAACUUGCCUACAUGAAGCCGGAAUCGCUUGUAAUCGCGGAUCAGCCUGCCGCGGUGAAUACGUUCCCGGGUUUUGGACACCCCGCCCGUCACCCCCCGAGAGUUUGUAACCCCCGAAGUCGGUGAGGUAACCUUUUGGAGCCAGCCGCCGAAGGUGACAGAUAUGU